rnacentral:rRNA from 1 species
UACGCGAUCUGAUAGCGAACGUAUUCAUCGGUAAUAGUAAGUGCGAUAUGCGAAGGCUGUAGAGCUGUGGUUCUUGAAUCCUGGUUACCGGGGCUUCAGAGGGACGGGCCGGCUAGAGUGUGUAGGGAGACUGGAAUUCGUGGUGUAGCGUGGAAUGCGCAGAUAUCAGGAGGAACACCGAUGGCGAAGGCAGGUCUCUGGGCCGUCACUGACGCUGAUGAUCGAAAGCGUGGGGAGCGAACAGGAUUAGAUACCCUGGUAGUCCACGCUGUAAACUUUGGGCAGGGAUGUGGGGGGUGUUUUGCCUCCCGUGUCGUAGCUAACGCGUUAAGUGCCCCGCCUGGGGAGUACGGCCGCAAGGCUAAAACUCAAAGGAAUUGACGGGGCCCCGCACAAGCGGCGGAGCAUGCGGAUUAAUUCGAUGCAACGCGAAGAACCUUACCAAGGCCUGAAAUGCAGGGAAAUCCUCCUGAGAGGGGGGGUGUCUUUUUGGCGUCUUGCACAGGUGGUGCAUGGUUGUCGUCAGCUCGUGUCGUGAGAUGUUGGGUUAAGUCCCGCAACGAGCGCAACCCUUGUCCCAUGUUGCCAGCGGUUCGGCCGGGGACUCAUGGGAGACUGCCGGGGUCAACUCGGAGGAAGGUGGGGAUGACGUCAAAUCAUCAUGCCCCUUAUGUCUUGGGCUUCACGCAUGGUACAAUGGCCGGUACAGAGGGUUGAGACGGCGCGAGCCUGGGCGAAUCCCUUAAAGCCGUUUUCAGUUUGGAUUGGGGUUUGCAACUGGACCCCAUGAUGUAGGAGUCGAUAGUAAUUGCAGAUCAGCAACGAUGCGGUGAAUACGUUCCCGGGGCUUGUACACACCGCCCGUCACGUCAUGAAAGUCGGUAACACCCGAAGCCCAUGGCCCAACCGUUAUUCGGGGGGAGUGUCGAAGUGA